rnacentral:misc_RNA from 1 species
GAACCAAAUACUUGGUGGAAAUAAGCAGCGACCAUAGUCAAAAAAUAGAUGUGAUCAUUCCUUCCAUAAAUCAGCAAACUCGUCUGGUUCCAAUGGAUUGGCCAUUUCAUGCAUCUUCCUUCUCGUCUUAGCCUUUAUCUUCUUUGAGUAUUUCCCAGCUUCCUUCUUCUUCUCCAGUGCCCGGAUCUGAUUGGGUGAUACAUAAAAGGGGUUUUCAUACAAU